rnacentral:rRNA from 1 species
AUACUCCUGACUGACCGAUAGUGAACCAGUACCGUGAGGGAAAGGCGAAAAGAACCCCGGCGAGGGGAGUGAAAAAGAACCUGAAACCGUGUACGUACAAGCAGUGGGAGCACGCUUAGGCGUGUGACUGCGUACCUUUUGUAUAAUGGGUCAGCGACUUAUAUUCUGUAGCAAGGUUAACCGAAUAGGGGAGCCGAAGGGAAACCGAGUCUUAACUGGGCGUUAAGUUGCAGGGUAUAGACCCGAAACCCGGUGAUCUAGCCAUGGGCAGGUUGAAGGUUGGGUAACACUAACUGGAGGACCGAACCGACUAAUGUUGAAAAAUUAGCGGAUGACUUGUGGCUGGGGGUGAAAGGCCAAUCAAACCGGGAGAUAGCUGGUUCUCCCCGAAAGCUAUUUAGGUAGCGCCUCGUGAAUUCAUCUCCGGGGGUAGAGCACUGUUUCGGCAAGGGGGUCAUCCCGACUUACCAACCCGAUGCAAACUGCGAAUACCGGAGAAUGUUAUCACGGGAGACACACGGCGGGUGCUAACGUCCGUCGUGAAGAGGGAAACAACCCAGACCGCCAGCUAAGGUCCCAAAGUCAUGGUUAAGUGGGAAACGAUGUGGGAAGGCCCAGACAGCCAGGAUGUUGGCUUAGAAGCAGCCAUCAUUU